UACGUAGGGAGCGAGCGUUGUCCGGAUUUAUUGGGCGUAAAGAGCGUGUAGGCGGUCAGGUAGGUCCGUUGUGAAAACUCGAGGCUCAACCUCGAGACGCCGAUGGAAACCAUCUGACUAGAGUCCGGAAGAGGAGAGUGGAAUUCCUGGUGUAGCGGUGAAAUGCGCAGAUAUCAGGAAGAACACCCGUGGCUAAGGCGGCUCUCUAGUACGGUACUGACGCUGAGACGCGAAAGCGUGGGGAGCGAACAGG
rnacentral:rRNA from 1 species